rnacentral:rRNA from 1 species
GAUGAACGCUAGCGGCAGGCUUACACAUGCAAGUCGAGGGGUAACGAUGGUGCUUGCACCAGGCGACGACCGGCGGACGGGUGAGUAACGCGUAUGCAACCUACCUAUUGCAGGAAGAUAGCCCGAGGAAACUCGGAUUAAUAUUCCAUAAUAUCAUUUUUACACAUGUAUUAAUGAUUAAAGCUACGGCGGCAAUAGAUGGGCAUGCGUACCAUUAGCUAGUUGGUGAGGUAACGGCUCACCAAGGUUACGAUGGUUAGGGGGUCUUAAAGGAUGAUCCCCCACACUGGUACUGAGACACGGACCAGACUCCUACGGGAGGCAGCAGUGAGGAAUAUUGGGCAAUGGACGCAAGUCUGACCCAGCCAUGCCGCGUGCAGGAUGACUGCUCUAGUAGUUGUAAACUGCUUUUCUAUUCAUGAACCCCUCUGACGUGUCAGGGGCUGACAGUAGAAUAGGAAUAAGCAUCGGCUAACUCCGUGCCAGCAGCCGCGGUAAUACGGAGGAUGCAAGCGUUAUCCGGAUUCAUUGGGUAUAAAGCGUGCGCAGGCGGGUGGGUAAGUCAGAGGUGAAAGCCCGCAGCUUAACUGUGGAAUUGCCUUUGAUACUGCUCACCUUGAGUCCAGCUGAGGUAGGCGGAAUGUAGUAUGUAGCGGUGAAAUGCUCUACAUAUACUACAGAACACCGAUUGCGAAGGCAGCUUACCAAACUGGCACUGACGCUCAGGCACGACAGCGUGGGGAGCGAACAGGAUUAGAUACCCUGGUAGUCCACGACGUAAACGUAGAUCACUCGUUGUCGGCAAUACACCGUCAGCGAACUAGCUAAUGCGCUAAGUGAUCACCUGGGGAGUCCGAUCGCCAGGUUGACACUCAAAGGAAUUUGCCAGAGGGACCAGCAAAUGCGGAGGAGCAUGUGGGUAAAUUCCGAUGAUACGCGAGGAA